rnacentral:rRNA from 1 species
CAGUAGCCACGGGAAUACAGAGGGUGCGAGCGUUAAUCGGAUUUACUGGGCGUAAAGCGUGCGUAGGCGGCUAAUUGAGUCGGAUGUGAAAUCCCAGAGCUUAACUUGGGAAUUGCAUUCGAUACUGGUUAGCUAGAGUGUGGGAGAGGAUGGUAGAAUUACAGGUGUAGCGGUGAAAUGCGUAGAGAUCUGGAGGAAUACCGAUGGCGAAGGCAGCCAUCUGGCCUAACACUGACGCUGAGGUACGAAAGCAUGGGGAGCAAACAGGAUUAGAUACCCGUGUAGUCCCUGUCUCUUAUAC